rnacentral:rRNA from 1 species
AUUGAACGCUGGCGGUAUGCCUUACACAUGCAAGUCGAACGGUAGAGGGGGCCACCUCUCGAGAGUGGCGCACGGGCGAGUAAAGCAUCGGAACGUGCCCAGCAGCGGGGGAUAGCCCGGCGAAAGCAGGAAUAAUACCGCAUGAGACCUACGGGUGAAAGGGGGGGAGCGCACGACCUCUCGCUCUUGGAGCGCCCGAUGUCAGAGUAGGUAGUUGGUGGGGUAAAGGCCUACCAAGCCGACGAUCUGUAGCUGGUCGGAGAGGACGACCAGCCACACUGGGACUGAGACACGGCCCAGACUCCUACGGGAGGCAGCAGUGGGGAAUUUUGGACAAUGGGCGAAAGCCUGAUCCAGCCAUGCCGCGUGCGGGAAGAAGGCCGUCGGGUUGUAAACCGCUUUUGUCAGGGAAGAAAUCCUUUGAGUUAAUACCUCGGGGGGAUGACGGUACCUGAAGAAUAAGCACCGGCUAACUACGUGCCAGCCGCCGCCGUAA